AAGUCGUAACAAGGUUUCCUUCUCGCGGGCUUGCCCCGGAGACCUUCCACGGCGACUAUAAACAAGCGUGCAGUCCGCGGGGUUCUUCCCCCGGGCCACGCCAUCACUGUGCUGGAAAAUCCCCCCGGGGGUCAACCCGCAGCCGAGCUCCUCGCCGAGCCCCGGUCCACAGGUCAAACGAUGGUGGCCGCCCGCCGGGCGGUUUUGAUAUGAUCGACCCCCCGGGAAUGCCCCCAGGGACAGCUUUGGUCCGUAGGUGAACCUGCGGAAGGAUCAUUACCGAGAUAGGGUCCCCUGGGCCCGAACCUCCCACCCUUGAUUACUUAUCUUUGUUGCUUUGGCGGGCCGCGGGGUCCCCGGACCCCCCGUCGACCACGGUGGACGAGUGCCCGUCAGAGACCCAUCAAACCCGUUUAAUCAGUGAUGUCCGAGUAUGAUGCAAUAGUUAAAA
rnacentral:misc_RNA from 1 species